UACGGCCGCAUCACGUUGAAACACCGGUUCCCGUACGAUCACCGAAGUUAGGCAACGUCGAAUAAGGUCAGUACCUAGUUGGGGUGCUCGCUUGAGAAUAGCAGGUGCUGUAAG